rnacentral:rRNA from 1 species
UACGUAGGGUGCGAGCGUUGUCCGGAAUUAUUGGGCGUAAAGGGCUCGUAGGCGGUCUGUCGCGUCGGUAGUGAAAACUCAGGGCUUAACCCUGAGCCUGCUUCCGAUACGGGCAGACUAGAGGUAUGCAGGGGAGAAUGGAAUUCCUGGUGUAGCGGUGAAAUGCGCAGAUAUCAGGAAGAACACCCGUGGCGAAGGCGGCUCUCUGGUACGUGACUGACGCUGAGACGCGAAAGCGUGGGGAGCGAACAGG